GACGAACGCUGGCGGCGUGCCUAAUACAUGCAAGUUGAGCGCUGAAGGUUGGUACUUGUACCGACUGGAUGAGCAGCGAACGGGUGAGUAACGCGUGGGGAAUCUGCCUUUGAGCGGGGGACAACAUUUGGAAACGAAUGCUAAUACCGCAUAAAAACUUUAAACACAAGUUUUAAGUUUGAAAGAUGCAAUUGCAUCACUCAAAGAUGAUCCCGCGUUGUAUUAGCUAGUUGGUGAGGUAAAGGCUCACCAAGGCGAUGAUACAUAGCCGACCUGAGAGGGUGAUCGGCCACAGUGGGACUGAGACACGGCCCAAACUCCGACGGGAGGCAGCAGUAGGGAAUCUUCGGCAAUGGACGAAAGUCUGAUCGAGCAACGCCGCGUGAGUGAAGAAGGUUUUCGGAUCGUAAAACUCUGUUGGUAGAGAAGAACGUUGGUGGGAGUGGAAAGCUCAUCAAGUGACGGUAACUACCCAGAAAGGGACGGCUAACUACGUGCCAGCCGCCGCCGUAA
rnacentral:rRNA from 1 species